GCUAUACAUGCAGUCGAGCGGACCGACGGGAGCUUGCUCCCUUAGGUCAGCGGCGGACGGGUGAGUAACACGUGGGUAACCUGCCUGUAAGACUGGGAUAACUCCGGGAAACCGGGGCUAAUACCGGAUGCUUGAUUGAACCGCAUGGUUCAAUCAUAAAAGGUGGCUUUUAGCUACCACUUACAGAUGGACCCGCGGCGCAUUAGCUAGUUGGUGAGGUAACGGCUCACCAAGGCGACGAUGCGUAGCCGACCUGAGAGGGUGAUCGGCCACACUGGGACUGAGACACGGCCCAGACUCCUACGGGAGGCAGCAGUAGGGAAUCUUCCGCAAUGGACGAAAGUCUGACGGAGCAACGCCGCGUGAGUGAUGAAGGUUUUCGGAUCGUAAAACUCUGUUGUUAGGGAAGAACAAGUACCGUUCGAAUAGGGCGGUACCUUGACGGUACCUAACCAGAAAGCCACGGCUAACUACGUGCCAGCAGCCGCGGUAAUACGUAGGUGGCAAGCGUUGUCCGGAAUUAUUGGGCGUAAAGCGCGCGCAGGCGGUUUCUUAAGUCUGAUGUGAAAGCCCCCGGCUCAACCGGGGAGGGUCAUUGGAAACUGGGGAACUUGAGUGCAGAAGAGGAGAGUGGAAUUCCACGUGUAGCGGUGAAAUGCGUAGAGAUGUGGAGGAACACCAGUGGCGAAGGCGACUCUCUGGUCUGUAACUGA
rnacentral:rRNA from 1 species